AGAACGAACGCUGGCGGCAUGCCUAAUACAUGCAAGUCGAACGAACUCUUCGGAGUUAGUGGCGCACGGGUGCGUAACGCGUGGGAAUCUGCCCCUUGGUUCGGAAUAACAGUUGGAAACGACUGCUAAUACCGGAUGAUGACGAAAGUUCAAAGAUUUAUCGCCAAGGGAUGAGCCCGCGUAGGAUUAGCUAGUUGGUGAGGUAAAGGCUCACCAAGGCAACGAUCCUUAGCUGGUCUGAGAGGAUGAUCAGCCACACUGGGACUGAGACACGGCCCAGACUCCUACGGGGAGCAGCAGUAGGGAAUAUUGGACAAGUGGGACAAAGCCUGAUCCAGCAAU
rnacentral:rRNA from 1 species